GAAAGACAGGGUAAAAAUGGAAUUUUGAUUGAUGGACGCCGCUAGACGUUGGGUGUUUACAUUUUUUUCGCCAAUUUAGAAGAAUUUCUGGGUUGCGGAAAAUCAAAGCAUGGAGGUGGAAGUUGAAGUUCAAGGUGAAGAUGGUUCCAAAACGGCACUGGGAAAGGAUGAGAAAACAGUGUUUGGACGAGGCUGUGGGUUCAACACCGAAGACCGCACAGUGUCUCGUCGCCACGUGUCCUUCGAACUCGAACAUUCAGACUCAGAGGGUUUCAUUCCAAGCCAUCGGGAAGAACCCCUUUUGGGUGUACGACGGAGAAGCGCUUAGACUCUUCAGAAAGUUCGACAUGGGUCACUUGCAACUCGGAAACCGUUUCUGCUUCUCUCCCAACACACCACUUUGGUUCACUCUCAACAACAUUCAACCUCAGCCUCAACUUAACCUUGACUAAAUUCACGUUUCGGAAAUCGAUCCCGUUAAAGGUAUUAUUAUUGCCUUUCUUUUUCAUCUUUCAAUUUUGUUGCAUUUCUCGUGUGAAUUUGGUUGGUUGCUUGCGCUGUAAAUAUGGGUACUUUUUCACAGCAACAUUGUGUAAUGUACUAUAUGAUUUGAAAUUAAAAUUGUAUUUUUGCUAGUUUGUGAAGAUUAUAUGGGUUGCGAGUGCUUGUGUAACCUUCCAAUGGUAGUAUAAUUUAAAUAUGAUUACAUGUUUUUUUUUUUGAGCUCACAGUGGUUUUUUUGAGCAUGACUGAUGAAUAUGUGAAUCCUUUUGAAGAUAUCAUGAUACUGGUAAAUAGUGUAUACACUGACAAUCUAAAGAGUUUUUACAAAUUGGCAUGUAUAGUAAAUGUGUUGACUUUUACUGUUUUACAAUGAUUACCUUGAAAAGUCAUGCUUGUGAUUUUUGAUUGGAUGAUCAUGUAAAAAAUUUAGGCUAAUAGUGCAUAGAAAUUAAAUUCUUGUGAUGUGAUUUGAAAAUGCGUAGUUUGGUUUUCUUGUGAUGGGGCACGAGUUUGACCACUAUCCCAAGGGGAUGAUUCGGAAUGCGAAGAAUUGGAAGUGGUUCCUUCAGGAACCUAGGAAGGAUAGUGAGGAUGAGGAAGAUGUUGAGAAGGAGAGGAGGAAAAUGACGGGAAAGCAAAAAAAUGGGUAAGGUGAAUGAAGAUGACGAGUGGACUGGUGAAAGUGAUGAUAAGAACCUUGUUGCCAAUAUGCGGAAAGGUAAGCUGCCCAGGUACUCCACAAGGUCAAAAGACAGUAAAGGAGGUAUCAAAGAUACCAAAGCUAGUAAAAAUUCUAAACUAAAGAAAGCGACUAGUGUUGAUGAAACUGGUGAAGAAGUAGAUGAUGAUGAUGAGACACUAGGAGGCUUCAUUGUUGCUGAUGAAGGUGAUGAUAAGGAAGAGGAAAAUGAUGAAGAAGAGGAAGAGUUUGAAGAUGAUGAUGAUGAUGAAUUGGAUGAUUAAUGCCAAGUCUCAAUGGAGCAAAUCCACACCGAAACAUGUAACCCAUCUCUCUCAGACAUCAUCAAACCAGGAGCUAUGAUAGUAAAACAUCCCUGAAGGACGACAAUUGGAGCUUCCGAGAAGCCAAAUGAUUGUGGCCAAAUCCACAACACCACCAAUGCUUCCCUGAAGAGAGUUUAAUUCAGUAAGUGUAUUCGUGCAGUCAUGCAGGUGCAUCUUCACAAGCAUUUCUUGGCAUGUUAGGUUCAGCCAAGCUUGAGAUUUUGAUAGCACAAGUGGAAGUGGGUAUCAAAAGCAAGAGGGACGUGACUGAGUUCAUGUACCUCCAAAUGUACAAACAAAUCCAAACACUGCAAGAAAGAACAUAUGGGUCUCUGGAACAAACAUUUUUUCUUCGGCCCUGAGGUUUUCUUGUUUUCUAUUUUAAUAUAUGGAAAUUGUGGGGGUGUGGGUAAGAAAAAAGGUGCAACCAUGCACCCUUUUGAGUAUAGUGCAUUGUAGAAUUGUUGCUUGUUUCCUUAUUUAAAAGUCUCAUGUUUAGUGAUCUAAAUUC